rnacentral:lncRNA from 1 species
UUGUAAGAACUAGGUUCACGUUUUAUUAAAAAAAAUAUUAAUAAAAUAAAUAUAAUAACGAGACUCUCGUUAUUUGUGAGAAAUUCGACUAAUACAAUACCGGUUACAAUACUAAAUAAACGAAUAUAAAAUACAACUAAAUUGUACCAAUCUUGAUUCAAAGCCAAUGUCUUUGAAAACUUCAACCGCACCUACGAGAUCGAAACUCCGCUGCAAGAUGAUGCGUGUGUAGUGUAUAUAUAAUUUAGAUAUAUAAUUAAGCCCUUUUUACACCUUUAGCCAAGUUUUAAAUUUAUAAAACACGAUAUUUACUAACACUAAACACACAUAUGGGCAAGUGCACCCAUCGUGGACGUAGUAUAGUGUUGGUAGGAUACCGAGGUCGUCCAAGGACACAAGAGCUUUUAGUACCGGUUUAUCCUCAACGUCUAAUCAAAUCAAAAAGUUAGAAAAUGUUUUUAAACUAAGAAAAUAAAAACUAACUAAAUGCUGAAAAAUAAAAAUAAAAUAAAAACAGAUAGACAAGAUGAAUCACUUGGAUCCGACUCGUGUGCCCCUCUUUUGAAGGCGACGUUACCCUCAACCCAGUAGUUUGAUUCAGCAAGGAUACAAUCCUAAAGGGUUGGAUUAUUGGAAGAUAAUGAAUUAAGUUAUUAAUGCAAAUUAUGGUAGGCCCCGCUUUUGGCGGUGACGUUACCCUCGGCUAAGUAGUCUGAGUCAGCAGGGAUACAGUCCUAAAUAGCCGGGUUAUAGUAUUAAUAGUAGUUAACUUAUGAGGGGGUCGAAGAGUUUGGAUCCCCGCCAUCCAAUACCUAUGGGCAUUGAAGGAGAUCCUACUAAAUUUGACCCAGGUCCCUUGCAUGACCUCUAAACGCUGAACAAGGGCAAGACCCUUACCAAACCGUUCCCUUAACCCCCGACCAGGUAGCCAACAUACCUCCAUAUAGACCGUGGAGAUAUGAAUGGUGAAAAUCUUUUAUUUUAUACAGACAGUAAAAUAAUGCCAAGACACCACGGACAAACGAUAAGAAAGAUCACCUUCAACAUAAGCAACUAGUUAUUAAAGUCAU